GAUGAACGCUGGCGGCGUGCCUAAUACAUGCAAGUCGAGCGAACGGACGAGAAGCUUGCUUCUCUGAUGUUAGCGGCGGACGGGUGAGUAACACGUGGAUAACCUACCUAUAAGACUGGGAUAACUUCGGGAAACCGGAGCUAAUACCGGAUAAUAUUUUGAACCGCAUGGUUCAAAAGUGAAAGACGGUCUUGCUGUCACUUAUAGAUGGAUCCGCACUGCAUUAGCUAGUUGGUAAGGUAACGGCUUACCAAGGCAACGAUGCAUAGCCGACCUGAGAGGGUGAUCGGCCACCCUGGAACUGAGACACGGUCCAGACUCCUGCGGGAGGCAGCAGUAGGGAAUCUUACGCAAUGGGCGAAAGCCUGACGGAGCACCGCCGCGUGAGUGAUGAAGGUCUUAGGAUCGUAAAACUCUGUUAUUCGGGAAGAACAUAUGUGUAAGUAACUGUGAACAUCUUGACGGUACCUAAUCAGAAAGCCCCGGCUAACUACGUG
rnacentral:rRNA from 1 species